GCUUACGACCACACCGGCCUGAGUACGCCUGAUCUCGUCUGAUCUCGGAAGCUAAGCAGGGUCGGGCCUGGUUAGUACUUGGAUGGGAGACUUCCUGGGAAUACCAGGUGCUGUAAGGU
ensembl:rRNA 5S_rRNA 5S ribosomal RNA